rnacentral:miRNA from 1 species
CGCCCACCUCGGCCUCCCAAAGUGCUGGGAUUACAGGCGUGAGCCCCUGCGCCCGGCCGUGGCAAGACUUCUUGGUCCCACUUUUCUCAUCUGCAG